rnacentral:rRNA from 1 species
UGGGGAAUAUUGGACAAUGGGCGCAAGCCUGAUCCAGCCAUGCCGCGUGUGUGAUGAAGGCCCUAGGGUUGUAAAGCCCUUUCGGCGGGGAAGAUAAUGACGGUACCCGCAGAAGAAGCCCCGGCUAACUUCGUGCCAGCAGCCGCGGUAAUACGAAGGGGGCUAGCGUUGCUCGGAAUCACUGGGCGUAAAGCGCGCGUAGGCGGAUCGUUAAGUCGGGGGUGAAAUCCUGGAGCUCAACUCCAGAACUGCCUUUGAUACUGGCGAUCUUGAGUCCGGGAGAGGUGAGUGGAACUCCGAGUGUAGAGGUGAAAUUCGUAGAUAUUCGGAAGAACACCAGUGGCGAAGGCGGCUCACUGGCCCGGUACUGACGCUGAGGUGCGAAAGCGUGGGGAGCAAACA